rnacentral:lncRNA from 10 species
GGGGAGGGUCAGGUGGAGGCAGCCAGCUGUGAGUGAGGAACAGCACAAGACUGCUGAGAAGCUGAUAUUAAGAAGGCAGAGCCAGAUGGCCAGACAGAAGCUUCUACCAAACCUCCUCCUCACAGGAGCACCAGAUUGGACAACCAUCCACACAAAAAAGUACCUUCAUGAGAACCACAAUUCAGGCCAGCCUGGGCUUGUUUUCCCGGUAGUACUGGGUUCUGAGAGAGAGUAACUGCAUGGAAGGCCUUGAAGACUGGGCUUGGGCCUGCUGUACCCACAUGACUGCUUCUGCCACGUUCUACUGGCCAAGCUCUAUGGGCAGCUCAGACACAAGGGAAGAGACUCUGCUGCUUCCUGGGAGAAGCUGCAAGACCACAUUGCGAAGGAACAUGUUGUUGCUGCUCCCAUGUUACCUUCGUCAGUGACCUGAGAUGCAGACUGGAUCUAGGGAAUGGUGUUUCCUGUGUGAUGCCUUCCAGGAGUAUCUGCACCACGGGCAGUGCCAGGCCGAGGACAGAGGGCCUAAUGGAGGACACUCUACAACUCCAUCCUGCUGCUGGGGGGGCUUGGGGGCGCCUCCACGAGGGUCUUCAGAGGAAAGGCAUGUGUGUGGUCUGUGGCCUGCCAGCAGGAGAGCUGGGGGAGGCCGGCAUCUUGAGGCUGUUGGCAGCAAGUGCAGGCAGAGGCCUCGGGCCAGAGGGGAGGUGGCAGGGCUCAGGUGCCCUGUGCUUCCUCGGAGAAGGCACUUGGGAUGAAGGCUUAGUCCUGCCUGGUAAACCUGGAGGCCUGUGAACACUGGGGUUAGCCCCAACAAGGGAGGAGGUUCCCGCUGCCUCACUAAGAACAGCCUGCUGCUACACUCACCCUGACAGCUGCUCCGCUCCCAGUGAACCCCACCCCGAGAAGGCUCAUCGGGGCCACGGACCUCCCUCAGCGCUGCAUUCAGAAUCCCUCAGGAGUUGUAAACUUCCUGAUUUCUGGACCCAUCACCAGAGCCCAACGUCACGGGUAAGGGUUAGGGCCUGGAUGUCAGGAUUCAAUUUGGAGAAUUCCCCGGGGCAAUUCCACCAUUGCAGACACUGAAACGGAGCUGGGGCAGAAGAAUCACACCAGGUGGCUCGAGCUGAGCGGCUGGGAGUGUGGCAGUGAAGACACUGAGUGUCCGUCAGGGAAGAUGGCUCUGGGUACAACAGCGUGCCCAGCCCCUUAGAUAUUCUCUGCACGGAAGUGGCCCCACCCUGAAGCGCGUGUGCAGUGACUGUUCAUGCUUCUGUGUGUGUGCAGGAGUAGUUUGGUUGGAGUGUGCAUAUGCGAAUGUGUGUGUAUGGAAGUCUAUCUAUCUGUAAUGUAAAGCAGUUGCGUAAUGCAAAUGUGUGUGUAUGGACAUCUAUCUGUAAUGCAAAGCAGUUGCGUAAUGCAAAUGUGUGUGUAUGGAUGUCUAUCUAUCUGUAAUGUAAAGUUCCCAAGUAUUGUGUAUAUCAUUGUUUGAGUUUUUAAAUUCUAAGAUAAUUUCUAGAGAAAAAGAUGUACGGGUGAUUCCUGGUGAAAAGCAGGGACCGUGGGCCUCAUAUUGAGACACAUUUCACGCUGUUUAGAUUGUAAUGGCAAUUAUGUAUGACUUUUGUACGUUUUUUAAAAAGCCAAUAAAAUACAUUUUAAAAUGUGGAAUUAUUUCUUCUAAUUUAAA